rnacentral:rRNA from 1 species
AUUGAACGCUGGCGGCAGGCCUAACACAUGCAAGUCGAACGGUAACAGGAAGAAGCUUGCUUCUUUGCUGACGAGUGGCGGACGGGUGAGUAAUGUCUGGGAAACUGCCUGAUGGAGGGGGAUAACUACUGGAAACGGUAGCUAAUACCGCAUAACGUCGCAAGACCAAAGAGGGGGACCUUCGGGCCUCUUGCCAUCGGAUGUGCCCAGAUGGGAUUAGCUAGUAGGUGGGGUAACGGCUCACCUAGGCGACGAUCCCUAGCUGGUCUGAGAGGAUGACCAGCCACACUGGAACUGAGACACGGUCCAGACUCCUACGGGAGGCAGCAGUGGGGAAUAUUGCACAAUGGGCGCAAGCCUGAUGCAGCCAUGCCGCGUGUAUGAAGAAGGCCUUCGGGUUGUAAAGUACUUUCAGCGGGGAGGAAGGGAGUAAAGUUAAUACCUUUACUCAUUGACGUUACCCGCAGAAAAAGCACCGGCUAACUCCGUG